UCUUGAUCUCAGAUCAGGCAGGAUGACCCGCUGAACUUAAGCAUAUCAGUAAGCGGAGGAAAAGAAACUAACCAGGAUUCCCUUAGUAACGGCGAGUGAAGCGGGAAUAGCCCAAUCUGAAAAGCUGGUCAGCCCCGGUGCUGGUCCCGCAUUGUAGGUUGAUGGGGCGUUACCUAGUGUCAAGCCUUUCGAUUAAAGUUCCUUGGAACAGGACGUCAAAGAGGGUGAAAACCCCGUGGAUAAUCGAAUGACAUACCAGCUUGAUGCGUCUAUGGUGCGCUUCCUUAGAGUCGGAAUGUUUGGGAUUGCAUUCCAAAGUGGGUGGUAAACUCCAUCUAAGGCUAAAUACUGGCGAGAGACCGAUAGCGAACAAGUACCGUGAGGGAAAGUUGAAAAGCACUCUGGAGAGAGAGUCAAACAGUACGUGAAAUUGUUAGCAGGGAAACGUUGGGCACCAGUACGCGGCAAUCAAUAUCGAUGAUCAGUCGGGCAGGUUGAAGAAUUAUUGUGUGGGUGUUUACUUUGGAGACUGUUCUCGGAUAGCUCACGCAUUCUAAUUCUUUAAUCUACCGGUGCACUCUUCGGUAGCCGGGUCAACAUCAGUUAACGACGUUCGAUAAGCUUUUAGGCAAGGUAGCAUCGAUGGGUUCUGCCCAUCUUUGAACUUAUAGGUCUAUUAUGCGAGGAUGUUGUUGACUGAGGCGGCAUUCGGUUCGCGCGCUUCGGCGCAGGGCGUAUGGAUGAGGUCAAGGUCGCCCGUGGUGCUAAGCAGCUUGCUGAUUAGUAUUCAUUUUGCUAUGUUUACAUAGCAGUGGUGAUCGUCUCGUCUAUACAAGCCACUAGCGAGCCUAUGACGGUUGACGAAAUGGUAUUCAACGACCCGUCUUGAAACACGGACCAAGGAGUCUAACAUGUCUGCGAGUGUUUGGGUGGUAAACCCGAACGCGGAAUGAAAGUGAAGAGGCAGGUUUCGUACCUGUCCACUGGUAGGAAUCGAAGCGUUUCGACGCGACGAGGCACUACCGACCGACCUGUUGCCCUCUGUGGUGGUAGGUUUGAGUUGGAGCAGUCCUGUUAGGACCCGAAAGAUGGUGAACUAUGCCUGAGCAGGAUGAAGCCAGAGGAAACUCUGGUGGAGGUCNGNAGCGGUUCUGACGUGCAAAUCGAUCGUCGGACUUGGGUAUAGGGGCGAA
rnacentral:rRNA from 1 species